GACGAACGCUGGCGGCGUGCUUAACACAUGCAAGUCGAACGGAAAGGCCCUGCUUUUGUGGGGUGCUCGAGUGGCGAACGGGUGAGUAACACGUGAGUAACCUGCCCUUGACUUUGGGAUAACUUCAGGAAACUGGGGCUAAUACCGGAUAGGAGCUCCUGCUGCAUGGUGGGGGUUGGAAAGUUUCGGCGGUUGGGGAUGGACUCGCGGCUUAUCAGCUUGUUGGUGGGGUAGUGGCUUACCAAGGCUUUGACGGGUAGCCGGCCUGAGAGGGUGACCGGCCACAUUGGGACUGAGAUACGGCCCAGACUCCUACGGGAGGCAGCAGUGGGGAAUAUUGCACAAUGGGCGGAAGCCUGAUGCAGCAACGCCGCGUGCGGGAUGACGGCCUUCGGGUUGUAAACCGCUUUCGCCUGUGACGAAGCGUGAGUGACGGUAAUGGGUAAAGAAGCACCGGCUAACUACGUGCCAGCAGCCGCGGUGAUACGUAGGGUGCGAGCGUUGUCCGGAUUUAUUGGGCGUAAAGGGCUCGUAGGUGGUUGAUCGCGUCGGAAGUGUAAUCUUGGGGCUUAACCCUGAGCGUGCUUUCGAUACGGGUUGACUUGAGGAAGGUAGGGGAGAAUGGAAUUCCUGGUGGAGCGGUGGAAUGCGCAGAUAUCAGGAGGAACACCAGUGGCGAAGGCGGUUCUCUGGGCCUUUCCUGACGCUGAGGAGCGAAAGCGUGGGGAGCGAACAGGCUUAGAUACCCUGGUAGUCCACGCUGUAAACGGUGGGUACUAGGUGUGGGGUCCAUUCCACGGGUUCCGUGCCGUAGCUAGCGCUUUAAGUACCCCGCCUGGGGAGUACGGCCGCAAGGCUAAAACUCAAAGGAAUUGACGGGGCCCCGCACAAGCGGCGGAGCAUGCGGAUUAAUUCGAUGCAACGCGUAGAACCUUACCUGGGUUUGACAUGGAUCGGGAGUGCUCAGAGAUGGGUGUGCCUCUUUUGGGGUCGGUUCACAGGUGGUGCAUGGCUGUCGUCAGCUCGUGUCGUGAGAUGUUGGGUUAAGUCCCGCAACGAGCGCAACCCUUGUUCACUGUUGCCAGCACGUUAUGGUGGGGACUCAGUGGAGACCGCCGGGGUCAACUCGGAGGAAGGUGGGGAUGACGUCAAGUCAUCAUGCCCCUUAUGUCCAGGGCUUCACGCAUGCUACAAUGGCUGGUACAGAGAGUGGCGAGCCUGUGAGGGUGAGCGAAUCUCGGAAAGCCGGUCUCAGUUCGGAUUGGGGUCUGCAACUCGACCUCAUGAAGUCGGAGUCGCUAGUAAUCGCAGAUCAGCAACGCCGCGGUGAAUACGUUCCCGGGGCU
rnacentral:rRNA from 1 species